AUUGAACGCUGGCGGCAGGCCUAACACAUGCAAGUCGAACGAGUGGCGGAAGGGUGAGUAAUGUCUGGGAAACUGCCUGAUGGAGGGGGAUAACUACUGGAAACGGUAGCUAAUACCGCAUACCAUCGGAUGUUCGCAGAUGGGAUUAGCUAGUAGGUGGGGUAAAGGCUCACCUCGGCGACGAUCCCUAGCUGGUCUGAGAGGAUGACCAGCCACACUGUAACGUAGACACGGUCCAGACUCCUACGGUAGGCAGCGGUGGGGAAUAUUGCACAAUGGGCGCAAGCCUGAUGCAGCCCUGCCGCGUGUAUGAAGAAGGCCUUCGGGUUGUAAAGUACUUUCAGCUGGGAGGCGUUACCCGCAGAAGAAGCACCGGCUAACUCCGUGCCAGCAGCCGCGGUAAUUC
rnacentral:rRNA from 1 species